CCUACGUGAGGCAGCAGUGAGGAAUAUUGGUCAAUGGGCGCGAGCCUGAACCAGCCAAGUAGCGUGAAGGAUGACUGCCCUACGGGUUGUAAACUUCUUUUAUAAAGGAAUAAAGUGAGGCACGUGUGCCUUUUUGUAUGUACUUUAUGAAUAAGGAUCGGCUAACUCCGUGCCAGCAGCCGCGGUAAUCCGGAGGAUCCGAGCGUUAUCCGGAUUUAUUGGGUUUAAAGGGAGCGUAGAUGGGUUGUUAAGUCAGUUGUGAAAGUUUGCGGCUCAACCGUAAAAUUGCAAUUGAUACUGGCAGUCUUGAGUACAGUUGAGGUAGGCGGAAUUCGUGGUGUAGCGGUGAAAUGCUUAGAGAUCACGAAGAACUCCGAUUGCGAAGGCAGCUUACUAAACUGCCACUGACAUUGAUGCUCGAAAGUGUGGGUAUCAAACAGGAUUAGAUACCCCAGUAGUC
rnacentral:rRNA from 1 species